rnacentral:miRNA from 1 species
AAUACAAGAUGCUCAGCUACAUUUGACAUUCAGAUGAACAACAAAUAAUUUUUUGGUGUACGUAUGUUCCAUGCCAUAUUUGAGACAUACUUAUACUAAAAAUAUUCAUUUUAAAAAAUCUGAAAUUCAAAUGUAUCUGGGCAUCCUGUAUUUU